rnacentral:rRNA from 1 species
GGAGUUUGGACCGUGUCUCAGUUCCAAUGUGGGGGACCUUCCUCUCAGAACCCCUACUGAUCGUUGGCCAGGUGGGCCGUUACCCCGCCUGCAACCUAAUCAGACGCAUCCCCAUCCCAUAGCGAUGAAUCUUUGCUCCAACUUAGAUGCCUGCAUUGGAGAACAUAGGGUGUUAAUCCGCAUUUCUACGGGCUAUGCCCUACCAGGGGGAAGGUUGGAUACGCGUUACUCACCCGUGCGCCGGUCGCCAUCAGGAAUUGCAAGCAACUCCCAUGCUGCCCCUCGACUUGCAUGUGUUAAGCCUGUAGCUAGCGUUCAUC